rnacentral:rRNA from 1 species
CGUGUCGUGAGAUGUUGGGUUAAGUCCCGCAACGAGCGCAACCCUUGUCGUUAAUUGCUAUCAUUUUAAUGAGCACUUUAACGAGACUGCCGGUGACAAACCGGAGGAAGGUGGGGAUGACGUCAAGUCCUCAUGGCCCUUAUGGGUAGGGCUUCACACGUAAUACAAUGGCGCGUACAGAGGGUUGCCAAUCCGCGAGGAGGAGCCAAUCUCAGAAAGCGCGUCGUAGUCCGGAUCGGAGUCUGCAACUCGACUCCGUGAAGUCGGAAUCGCUAGUAAUCGCGGAUCAGCAUGCCGCGGUGAAUACGUUCCCGGGUCUU